rnacentral:rRNA from 1 species
UACGUAGGGGGCUAGCGUUGUCCGGAAUCAUUGGGCGUAAAGAGCGUGUAGGCGGCCCGGUAAGUCCGCUGUGAAAGUCGGGGGGCUCAACCCUCGAAUGCCGGUGGAUACUGUCGGGCUAGAGUGCGGAAGAGGCGAGUGGAAUUCCUGGUGUAGCGGUGAAAUGCGCAGAUAUCAGGAGGAACACCGAUUGCGAAGGCAGCUCGCUGGGACGUAACUGACGCUGAGACGCGAAAGCGUGGGGAGCAAACAGG